ensembl:lncRNA
UUUACUUAUUUCAUCUGCUGUAUAUUUAAAAUGUAUAAUAAUGAUAUUAAAAGAAGGUAAAAAAUUUAAAAAUUAUAAAAAACAAAUUAUUACUUUAUUUAUUCUUAUUUUAUAUUUUAUGAUUGGCUUUUCUAAUUUACAUCCAUUUGGUUAUAAUAUAAAUUUAUUGUUUAAUCAUAUUACAUUUAAUUAUUUAUAUUUAUUUAUUAUUAUUAUACAAAUUAUUUGUAUAACAUGGUUGUAUCCUUUAAAUUAUACCAAAAAAGUAAUAAUUCAUAAAAAAUUAUGUGUUAUGUCUCUUUUUUUGUUAUUUUGUUUUAUUCUUGCUAUUUUAUUCAUGUCUCUAAUAAUAUAUAUAUAUAAAAAUAUAUACAAGAAAUUAUAUUUUUUAUUAAUGUCUUUAGCCCUUUUAAUAUUUUUAUUUGUUUGUGUAAAUAAAUACAUUUUAUCCAGCAUCCAAGACAUUACACCAUAUAAAACAAAAAUAUAUAAUUUAUAUUUGUUGAACAUUGAUUUGUUACGGAAACGGUUUAACAGUAUAUUUUAUGGUCAAGAUCAUAAACAUAUUUUAAAUCAAACAAAAUACCAUUUUAAUUAUAAUUAUAAAAAGUUACAUUUUUGUUGGUGCUAUACAAUUAAAUAUAUUAUUCCGUUCAUAUUAAUUUUUAUAUUUGUAUCAAAUGUUAUUUGUAACAUUCACCACAUAUUGUUUUUAAGCAAGCAAGGUACCAAUAAUGAUUAUAAUAUUAAUAAUAAAGGAGAGAAUAAAUUUUUUAGUAUCCCACCACCGAACCAGCACACUAUCCACUCAAACUUAAGAAAACAAAUAAACGGAAAUGGACAUAUAUCUUUUUUUCAACAUACAAAUGAUCACAAAAAUUAUGAACAAGCAAAAUAUAAUAUAAAUGAUAUACGCCCGGCAUUUCAGGGGGAAAAUCUUACCACAUCGGGGAGUGGUAGUAGUAGUAGUGAUCGUAGUAGCAGUAGCAGUAGUGGUAAUAUUACCGAGUUAUUAUUUCCCCCCAACGAAGCAACUUUUAAACUUGCAAAUAUAAGUGGAACAAGCCCCCUAAAUAUAAGUUAUUUGUUCGGUUUACAUAUACAAUUUAUUAUUACAAUAUGUUUAUUACUGGUAAUAUUGUUAUUUUCAUUAUCUCCAUUAUUAAUUUCAUUUAAAUUUAAUACAUUUACUUCUCACGUUAUCUAUAAAUGGAAUAUAAAAGAUAUACAUGUAAGAAAAAAUAUAUUUAAUCAUUAUUAUUAUACGAGACCUAUAUUUUUUUUUUGAAGAAAUUUUACCGAUCAAAAAAAUUAUGCCUUCUUAUGUGUUUAACCACAUAAAGCAUCAUUUAAAAGAGAAUAAUUUUACAGAAUCUUUAAAAGAACAUUAUCAAAAAAACUUAAAUAUAUAUGAUAAAAGUUAUAUAUAUAAUAAUAAAAUGCAGUACGAAAUGUACA